AAAACUGGUAGCUGGUUUUCAAGAAGUAACUAUUAGAUCUUAUAACUAUAUGAUAUGCAAUUAGAUGCUUUUAUUAAUCAACCAAAAUGUCAAUUUUUUGGUUUUUGUUUAUGAUUUAUUAAUUAUUAAAUUUGUCUCCUAAUCUAGGAUAUUAUAGAAUUCUAUUUGAGUAUGCUGAAUGAACUUUAUUAUUGCAUUUUGAAUUCAU
rnacentral:lncRNA from 1 species